rnacentral:pre_miRNA from 1 species
UCUUACAGAUAAGCAAAGAAAGUGGUUUCUUGAGAUAGAAUCUACUCCUGAUGAAGAUGUUGUGAA